rnacentral:rRNA from 1 species
AGGUAUAACCGAUUAUACCGGAAAACUGCGAAUGGCUCGGUAAAUCAGUUAUAGUUUAUUUGAUAGUGCAAACUACUCGGAUAACCGUAGUAACACUAGAGCUAAUACGUGCGUAAAUCCCGACUCUUGGAAGGGACGUAUUUAUUAGAUAAAAGGCUAACCGGGUUUUCCCGACCAGCGAUGAAUCAUGGUAACUUCACGGAUUGCAUGGCCUUUGUGCCGGCGACGUGUCAUUCAAGUUUCUGCCCCAUCAUGGUUUCGACUGUAAUGUAUUGGAUUACAGUGCCGAUAACGGGUAGCGGAGGAUUAGGGUUCGAUUCCGGAGAGGGCGCNUGAGAAAUGGCGACCNCAUCCAAGGAAGGCAGCAGGCGCGCAAAUUACCCAAUCCCAACUCAGGGAGGUAGUGACAAGAAAUAACAAUGCGGAGCCACAGGUUCUGCAAUUGGAAUGAGAACAAUUUAAACCACUUAACGAGUACCUAUUGGAGGGCAAGUCUGGUGCCAGCAGGCGCGGUAAUUCCAGCUCCAAUAGCGUAUAUGUAAGUUGUUGCGAUUAAAAAGCCCGUAGCUGAACCUCGGGCAGCCCUGACGGUCCGCCAAUCGGUGUGUACUGUCGUGGGCUGCCUUUCUGCUGGGGACCGUAUCCUUGCAUUCACUUGCCGGGAACGGGACCUAGCAAGGUUACUUUGAGUAAAAUAGAGUGUUCAAAGCAAGCUAUCGCUCUGAAUACACUAGCAUGGGAUAACACGACAUGACCGAUGGUCUAUCUUGUUGGCCUGUAGACCCGUUGGUAAUGGCUAAUAGGGACGGUCGGGGGCAUUCGUAUUUCGCUGUCAGAGGKGAAAUUCUUGGAUUUGCGAAAGACGAACUACUGCGAAAGCAUUUGUCAAGGACGCUUUCAUUAGUCAAGGACGAAAGUCGGGGGAUCGAAGACGAUUAGAUACCGUCGUAGUCUCGACCAUAAACGAUGCCAAUUAGGGAUCGGAGGGUGGUUUUCUUAUGCCUCCUCCGGCACCU